GAGAAAAGGAGAGAGAGCGAGGCUUUGCUGAGGAGGGGAGUGCAGCAGCCUGCAGCACACUGAAAGAGAGAGGGCGAGAGAAGGCUGUUAUACGAUGGAGUUCUCAUGUGGCCCGGGCCGAGAGUGACAGCCCAAGUCUGACGGAACAAAAAAGUACCGAAAUGACAACUUGAUAAAAGCGAAAUGACUUUCCGUCUGUGUUUUGCCGAGAGCAAGGUAAAAGGUGCAGAGAGCAUGAAUAAAAGAGUGAUGGGCGGCGGAGAAAUCUGUCAGCUGAAGAGUGUGAUGUCUGCGCACUGAUGCCUGUGUUUGUCUGGGUCAGGGUUACAUUGACGUAGCGGACCAAAUUUGGUGAGUGUGUGCACGUGUAUGAGACAUGGGGGGUCAGCGGGUUCAGAAAGGCUGAGCGGUUCUAUUGCUCGGCCGUGAUUUUCUUCUCCUCGGUUGCAGCUGCUUCACCUCAUCAAGACAAAAAUGACCUGCAGUAAAUGGAUCACUUUUUAAAUGCUACUGUGUUUCAACAACAGUGUGGAUUGUGGCACAAAAAUCCGCCGAAGAAUCUCUGCAACAGCCUGUAUAUAUAAUUUAUGUUUUUAAAAAUAUAUAUUUAGCUGUAUGUUCCUGUUUAAGAUGGUCAGAAAAGCCUGGCCAAACUGGUUUAGCUAGUCACCCAGUGUUUGGGUUCUGCUAGUUUAGCAAGUCAGAAAGAUAGUCUUCCAGUCUGGCCAGCAAAAAAAAAAAAAAAAC